AGGACGAACGCUGGCGGCGUGCUUAACACAUGCAAGUCGAACGGUGAACCAGGGCUUGCCCUGGGAAUCAGUGGCGAACGGGUGAGUAACACGUGACCAACCUGCCCCUAACUCUGGGAUAACCCCGGGAAACCGGAGCUAAUACCGGAUACGAGACCGAGUGGCAUCACACGGUCUGGAAAGUUUUUCGGUUAGGGAUGGGGUCGCGGCUAUCAGCUUGUUGGUGGGGUAAUGGCCUACAAGGCGACGACGGGUAGCCGG
rnacentral:rRNA from 1 species